GAGUCUACCUCUGUUAGGGACUGUGUGGGGUGUAGCAGAAAGGAUGCAGACUACUGGCUCUCAGAGGAUUGCUACCUGGUGAGAGUGGACACACAAGAGAGCCUGAGAGCUUUAACUGAGAGUUGAAGUUAUUCUGGAGGAGGAAGAAGGUGGUGUGACCAACCCAUGAGGGUUUGCAUCGGGGGACAAAUGUUGAGUGCAGCAUUUGAAUGGCACGCCGUCUUCUCCAGACAGUGGUCAUGAAUUAAAAUGGAUAUCCAACUGUUCCAUGAGGCAACGAAUGGGGAUUUUACAUAUUAAAUCAGCAUUGUCUGCUGGAGCUCUCUGCUACCUGGGAAGGCUCUGCAUUUGGGCUGUCAAAGCCACAAGCUCAGACAAUGAAGAUGGCAAACUGAAGGUGAACACUUCUUUCAAGUCAGUCACAAGAGGCUUAUGUGUUGGACUGUGUCUAUGGAUAUCCUAUUGCAGAACAUGGCGUUAGAUUAGUGAGAGCAGUCUUCCUCUAUAGGCACAACUUUGCAUCAGACAUUUGAUGGGAGAGGUCCAUCUUUGAAGGGAAGUUUUAUUUAAGUCUGUCCCUGGAUCCACAUCAUCCGUACGUCUGUCUACAGGGCAAAAAACUUCAUCUUUCAUGAGUGCAAUUUCAAACUUGGUGCCAACGAGAGACAUCUUCCCUGGACUCAAAUGCGCGAAGCCUGAACAGGACAUCUUGAGUGUUAGCUUCUCUGGGAUGGCUGCGGUGUGCAGCACAUUUUUGUUAAGGUGUUAUUCAAAGUUUCUGAUUAACAUAAGUUUUUCUUAAAAUUAUACAAAAACAUAAUACCAUGAUUAUGGAAAUAAAAAGCCACCCACAAGCUUACUAUCUUUACAAACCA
rnacentral:lncRNA from 1 species